rnacentral:rRNA from 1 species
AAGUCGGCUUCGGCCGAUGAGUACAGUGGCGCACGGGUGAGUAACGCGUGGGUAAUCUGCCCCCCGGUCAGGAAUAACCCGCCGUAAAGGCGGGCUAAUACCCGAUAACACUGACGCUCUGCGGAGUGUCUUUCAAAGAAGGCCUCUGUUUACAAGCUUUCUCCGUGAGAUGAUCCCGCGUACCAUUAUCUUGUUGGCACGGUAAUGGCCUACCAAGGCAACGAUGGAUAGCUGGUCUGAUAGGAUGGC